AACUCCAAUAGCGUAUAUUAAAGUUGUUGCUGUUAAAAAGCUCGUAGUUGGAUUUCUGCCGAGGACGAUCGGUCCGCCCUCUGGGUGAGCAUCUGGCUCGGCUUGGGCAACUUCUUGGAGAACGUAGUUGCACUUGACUGUGUGGUGCGGUAUCCAGGACUUUUACUUUGAGGAAAUUAUAGUGUUUCAAGCAGGCACACGCGUUGAAUACGUUAGCAUGGAAUAAUAAGAUAGGACCCCAGUUCUAUUUUGUUGGUUUCUAGAGCUGAGGUAAUGAUUAAUAGGGAUAUUUGGGGGCAUUUGUAUUUAACUGUCAGAGGUUAAUUUCUUGGAUGUGUUAAAGACUGACUACUGCGAAACCAUUUGCCAAGGAUGUUUUCU
rnacentral:rRNA from 1 species